rnacentral:rRNA from 1 species
GGUGAAAGGCCAAUCAAACUCGGAAAUAGCUCGUACUCCCCGAAAUGCAUUUAGGUGCAGCGUAUUAAUAGUUUUAUAGAGGUAGAGCUACUGAUUGGAUGCGGGGGCUUCACCGCCUACCAAUUCCUGACAAACUCCGAAUGCUAUAAAAUGUUUUAAUGCAGUGAGGGCAUGGGUGCUAAGGUCCAUGUCCGAGAGGGAAAGAACCCGGACCAUCAGCUAAGGUCCCCAAAUAUAUACUAAGUUGAAUAAACGAGGUUUGACUGCCUAGACAGCUAGGAUGUUGGCUUGGAAGCAGCCAUUCAUUUAAAGAGUGCGUAACAGCUCACUGGUCGAGCGACAGGGCAUCGAUAAUAAUCGGGCAUCAAACACAGUACCGAAGCUUAGUCAGUAUUUAUACUGGGUAGGGGAGCAUUCUAUAGGCGGCGAAGCAGUCCUGUCAGGGAUUGUGGAGCGUAUAGAAAAGCAAAUGUAGGCAUAAGUAACGAUAAUGCGGGCGAGAAACCCGCACACCGAAAGACUAAGGUUUCCUCAGCUAUGCUAAUCAGCUGAGGGUUAGUCGGGACCUAACGCGAACCCGAAAGGGGUAGUGGAUGGACAACAGGUUAAUAUUCCUGUACCUGCUCACACUAAAAGUGACGGAGGCGAAAAGUUAGUGCGCACUGACGGAAUAGUGCGUUGAAGGGAGUGGUAACACCCCGAUAGUACAGUAAGGCUACGGCCGCGCUGAUAAUCUAGCAAAUCGACUUCCAAGAAAACCGAGUGAAGCAGCCCGUACCGUAAACCGACACAGGUAGUUGGGAUGAGAAUUCUAAGGUGCUCGAGAGAUUCAUGGCUAAGGAACUAGGCAAAAUAGACCUGUAACUUCGGGAGAAAGGUCGCCCAUCUUCGGAUGGGCCGCAGUGAAAAGGUCCAGGCGACUGUUUAUCAAAAACAUAGGGCUUUGCUAAAUCGAAAGAUGAUGUAUAAGGCCUGACACCUGCCCGGUGCUGGAAGGUUAAGAGGAGGGUUUAGCUUCGGCGAAGAUCUGAAUUGAAGCCCCAGUAAACGGCGGCCGUAACAAUAAC